AUACGGAGGGUGCAAGCGUUGUUCGGAAUUACUGGGCGUAAAGGGCGCGUAGGUGGUUGUGUGUGUCAGAUGUGAAAUCCCGAGGCUCAACUUCGGAACUGCAUCUGAAACUGCAUGACUAGAGUACAGCAGAGGGAAACGGAAUUCCUGGUGUAGAGGUGAAAUUCGUAGAUAUCAGGAGGAACACCGGUGGCGAAGGCGGUUUCCUGGGCUGAUACUGACACUGAGGCGCGAAAGCGUGGGGAGCAAACAGGAUUAGAUACCCUGGUAGUCCACGCUGUAAACGGUGAGUACUGGGUGUGGGAGGUGUAAUGCCUUCUGUGCCGAAGCUAACGCGUUAAGUACUCCGCCUGGGGAGUACGGCCGCAAGGUUGAA
rnacentral:rRNA from 1 species